AGCUUUCUUGCAUUGGUUUACAGUGCACUCCUUUAGCUCAGUGUACUUCAUUUCUAUCCAAAUUCUGAAUUCUAAUUCUGUCAGUUUAACUGCCUCAGCCUCAGCCCGGUUCCAAACCCUUGCUGGAGAGGUGAUACAGUCAUUUGGAGGAAAGAGGUUACUCUUGCUUUUUGAGUUUUCAGCAUUCUUGUGCUGAUUCUUUCUCAUCUUGGGUUGCUGUGGUAUGCUGGGGUUCCGCUUCAAUGCCUAGUCACCUCAGAUUUUCCUGUACCUGCAGGUAUCACCAGUGAAGCCUGCGAAGCAGCAAAGAUGGCAGUCUGCCCCGUCUUCUAGGAGCUCUGUCACAGGGAGACAAGCCGUGCUGUGCUGGCGGACCACUUCAGCUCAUGGUCACCUCAGACACUCUGAAGCCUGAAGGCUGGAACAACUAAAUUGCCCAAACAGCAAAUAUGACAGCAUCUACAGAAAUCAUUUUAUUUGAGUUAUGUAGCAAGAACCCAACUUAAGCAAAUAUAAAAUUUACAACUAAGUCACUAUUUGGAUAUUAAUGUGUAUGCUAAACUGAUUUGUUCAUGGGCUAGUCAGCUAUUCAUAUGAUCUUUACAAUUUUCUGAAUUCCAUUUUUUGGUUAAAAAAAGAAAACAAGCUGAUACUUUUAUCACUUUCUAAGAAACAUUUGAUUUAAAUUCUUAUGCCUUCAAUAUCUCAUGUAAAAUGCUAGUUUCAUUACUACUGUAAGUAAAUAUGUGUAAAACAGAAAGUAUCUGAGACAAGUCUCAAUCAGUUUUGAAGUUUAUUUGGCCAAGGUUAAGGAUAUGCCCAGAAGAAAUAAACAUGCAAUCACAGAAACAGUCCCUGGUCUGUGCAUUUCUCCAAAGAUGAUUUUGAGGACUCCAGUAUUUAAAGGGGAAAAGUAAUCUGGAGGGGAAAGAGAGGGUACGGUAAUCCACA
rnacentral:lncRNA from 1 species